UACAGGGGGGGCAAGCGUUGUUCGGAAUUACUGGGCGUAAAGGGCUCGUAGGCGGCCAACUAAGUCGGAUGUGAAAUCCCCAGGCUUAACCUGGGAACUGCAUCCGAUACUGGAUGGCUUGAAUCCGGGAGAGGGAUGCGGAAUUCCAGGUGUAGCGGUGAAAUGCGCAGAUAUCAGGAGGAACACCAGCGGCGAAGGCGGCAUCCUGGACCGACAUUGACGCUGAGGAGCGAAAGCUAGGGGAGCAAACGGGA
rnacentral:rRNA from 1 species